rnacentral:misc_RNA from 1 species
AAGUUCUCAACCACAUCAUUUAAUGUUGGUGUGGCUUGGACUUGGGGGGUUGUUGCAGGCUUCUGAGGUCUGCUCCCCUGAAAUUCAUUAGUGGUAUCUGAGCAGAGGAAACUACUACAGGUGUGAUAAUUAUCUAUGCCUUGGUAUGCUGCAUGAACAGAUUGCACUGCUUCUAACAAGUGAGAAACCCCUUCUGGGGCCUCCACAUUUGAUGA